rnacentral:rRNA from 1 species
AGCGAACGCUGGCGGCAGGCCUAACACAUGCAAGUCGAGCGGAUGACGGGAGCUUGCUCCUUGAUUCAGCGGCGGACGGGUGAGUAAUGCCUAGGAAUCUGCCUGGUAGUGGGGGACAACGUUUCGAAAGGAACGCUAAUACCGCAUACGUCCUACGGGAGAAAGCAGGGGACCUUCGGGCCUUGCGCUAUCAGAUGAGCCUAGGUCGGAUUAGCUAGUUGGUGAGGUAAUGGCUCACCAAGGCGACGAUCCGUAACUGGUCUGAGAGGAUGAUCAGUCACACUGGAACUGAGACACGGUCCAGACUCCUACGGGAGGCAGCAGUGGGGAAUAUUGGACAAUGGGCGAAAGCCUGAUCCAGCCAUGCCGCGUGUGUGAAGAAGGUCUUCGGAUUGUAAAGCACUUUAAGUUGGGAGGAAGGGCAGUAAGCUAAUACCUUGCUGUUUUGACGUUACCGACAGAAUAAGCACCGGCUAACUCUGUGCCAGCCGCCGCAGUAAAAC